UGUCGAUCGAAGUGCGACGAUGCCCAGGCUGUAGAGGGGGUGCGCGAGGAAGCCGGUGCGAAUCCGGCACGGUCCCGCCACUGUGACCGGGCCUUGGGAUCCGGGAGUCAGGAACUCGACCCCCGACUCAUCGACCG
rnacentral:ncRNA from 2 species